UACAGAGGGUGCGAGCGUUGUCCGGAAUCACUGGGCGUAAAGGGUGCGUAGGUGGCUUGGUAAGCGUGUGGUGAAAGUCCGGGGCUCAACCCCGGAUCUGCCGUGCGAACUGCCGAGCUCGAGCAUUGUAGAGGCAGGUGGAAUUUCGGGUGUAGCGGUGGAAUGCGUAGAGAUCCGAAAGAACACCAGUGGCGAAGGCGGCCUGCUGGGCAAUUGCUGACACUGAGGCACGACAGCGUGGGGAGCAAACAGG
rnacentral:rRNA from 1 species